rnacentral:tRNA from 10 species
UGGGAGUUGGUGUAAUUGGCAACACGCGAGGUUCUGACCCUCGUAUUCUAGGUUCGAGUCCUAGGCACCCAGC